GGGGGCAUAGCUCAGUUGAUAGAGCACUUGACUUGCAAUCAAGAGGUCGUGGGUUUGAAUCCCAUUGCCUCCA
rnacentral:tRNA from 1 species